GACGAACGCUGGCGGCGUGCCUAAUACAUGCAAGUAGGACGCAGUUGCGAACGGGUGAGUAACGCGUAGGUAACUACCAAUUAGAGGGGGAUAACUAUUGGAAACGAUAGCUAAUACCGCAUACUAGUAGAUGGACCUGCGUUGUAUUAGCUAGUAGGUAGGGUAAUGGCCUACCUAGGCAACGAUAGAUAGCCGACCUGAGAGAUGGAACCGCCAAACUGGGACGGAGACACGGCCCAGAGUCCUACGAGAGGCAGCAGUAGGGAAUCUUCGGCAAUGGGGGGAAACCUGACCGAGCAACGCCGCGGGGGUGAAGAAGGUUUUCGGUUCGUAAAGCUAUGUUGUUAAGGAAGCGGUACUUAACCAGAAAGGGACGGCUAACUACGUGCCAGCAGCCGCGGUAAUAC
rnacentral:rRNA from 1 species